AUUGAACGCUGGCGGCAGGCCUAACACAUGCAAGUCGAGCGAGCGGCGGACGGGUGAAUAAUGUCUGGGAAACUGCCUGAUGGAGGGGGAUAACUCCUGGAAACGGUAGCUAAUACCGCAUACCAUCAGCUUUUCCCAGAUGGGAUUCGCUAGUAGGUGGGGUAAUGGCUAACCUAGGCGACGAGCCCUAGCGGGUCUGAGAGGAUGACCAGCCACACUGGAACUGAGACACGGUCCAGACUCCUACGGGAGGCAGCAGUGGGGAAUCUUGCACAAUGGGCGAAAGCCUGAUGCAGCCAUGCCGCGUGUGUGAAGAAGGCCUUCGGGUUGUAAAGUACUUUCAGCGGGGAGGCGUUACCCGCAGAAGAAGCACCGGCUAACUCCGUGCCAGCAGCCGCGGUAAUUC
rnacentral:rRNA from 1 species